UGGUACCAUCAGUUCUCCCGACUAUUAAUCGAAAGAAUUUUUUCCCACUUGACAGAGCUUUACGACCCGAAAGCCUUCUUCACUCACGCGGCGUUGCUGCGUCAGGGUUUCCCCCAUUGCGCAAAAUUCCUCA
rnacentral:rRNA from 1 species